rnacentral:rRNA from 1 species
GAUGAACGCUGGCGGCGUGCCUAAUACAUGCAAGUCGAGCGAACGGACGAGAAGCUUGCUUCUCUGAUGUUAGCGGCGGACGGGUGAGUAACACGUGGAUAACCUACCUAUAAGACUGGGAUAACUUCGGGAAACCGGAGCUAAUACCGGAUAAUAUUUUGAACCGCAUGGUUCAAAAGUGAAAGACGGUCUUGCUGUCACUUAUAGAUGGAUCCGCGCUGCAUUAGCUAGUUGGUAAGGUAACGGCUUACCAAGGCAACGAUGCAUAGCCGACCUGAGAGGGAGGGCGGCCACAAUGGAAAUGAGACAAGGUCCAAAAACCUAAGGGAGGCAGCAGUAGGGAAUCUUACGCAAUGGGCGAAAGCCUGAAGGAGAAACGACGCGUGAGUGAUGAAGGUCUUCGGAUCGUAAAACUAUGUUAUUAGGGAAGAACAUAUGUGUAAGUAAAUGUGAACAUCUUGACGGUACCUAAGCAGAAAGCCACGGCUAACUAAGU